GAUGAACGCUAGCUACAGGCUUAACACAUGCAAGUCGAGGGGAAACGGCAUUGAGUGCUUGCACUCUUUGGACGUCGACCGGCGCACGGGUGAGUAACGCGUAUCCAACCUUCCCAUUACUGUGGAAUAACCUGCCGAAAGGCAGACUAAUACCGCAUAGUCUUCGAUGACGGCAUCAGAUUUGAAGUAAAGAUUUAUCGGUAAUGGAUGGGGAUGCGUCUGAUUAGCUUGUUGGCGGGGUAACGGCCCACCAAGGCGACGAUCAGUAGGGGUUCUGAGAGGAAGGUCCCCCACAUUGGAACUGAGACACGGUCCAAACUCCUACGGGAGGCAGCAGUGAGGAAUAUUGGUCAAUGGACGGAAGUCUGAACCAGCCAAGUAGCGUGCAGGAUGACGGCCCUAUGGGUUGUAAACUGCUUUUGUAUGGGGAUAAAGUUAGGGACGUGUCCCUAUUUGCAGGUACCAUACGAAUAAGGACCGGCUAAUUCCGUGCCAGCAGCCGCGGUAAUACGGAAGGUCCAGGCGUUAUCCGGAUUUAUUGGGUUUAAAGGGAGCGUAGGCUGGAUAUUAAGUGUGUUGUGAAAUGUAGACGCUCAACGCCUGACUUGCAGCGCAUACUGGUUUCCUUGAGUACGCACAACGUUGGCGGAAUUCGUCGUGUAGCGGUGAAAUGCUUAGAUAUGACGAAGAACUCCGAUUGCGAAGGCAGCUGACGGGAGCGCAACUGACGCUUAAGCUCGAAGGUGCGGGUAUCAAACAGG
rnacentral:rRNA from 1 species